rnacentral:rRNA from 1 species
AUUGAACGCUGGCGGCAUGCCUUACACAUGCAAGUCGAACGGUAACAGGUCUUCGGAUGCUGACGAGUGGCGAACGGGUGAGUAAUACAUCGGAACGUGCCUAGUAGUGGGGGAUAACUACUCGAAAGAGUGGCUAAUACCGCAUGAGAUCUACGGAUGAAAGCAGGGGGUCGCAAGACCUUGUGCUACUAGAGCGGCCGAUGGCAGAUUAGGUGGUUGGUGGGAUAAAAGCUUACCAAGCCGACGAUCUGUAGCUGGUCUGAGAGGACGAUCAGCCACACUGGGACUGAGACACGGCCCAGACUCCUACGGGAGGCAGCAGUGGGGAAUUUUGGACAAUGGGCGAAAGCCCGAUCCAGCAAUGCCGCGUGCAGGAUGAAGGCCUUCGGGUUGUAAACUGCUUUUGUACGGAACGAAAAGCCCCGGGUUAAUACCCUGGGGUCAUGACGGUACCGUAAGAAUAAGCACCGGCUAACUACGUGCCAGCCGCCGCCGUAA